rnacentral:rRNA from 1 species
GACAGAGGGUGCAAACGUUGUUCGGAAUUACUGGGCGUAAAGCGUGUGUAGGCGGUCUCAUAAGUCGGAUGUGAAAGCCCCGGGCUCAACCCGGGAAGUGCAUUCGAAACUGCGAGGCUAGAGUAUCGGAGAGGUUGGUGGAAUUCUCGGUGUAGAGGUGAAAUUCGUAGAUAUCGAGAGGAACACCAGUGGCGAAGGCGGCUCACUGGACCGGUACUGACGCUGAUGCGCGAAAGCGUGGGGAGCAAACGGG